CAUCGCGCAGCAAAGGUACGAACAAGCAAAGCGUAGAUGCCUCGAACUGAAAGGUACCGAGCGACCUCCUAGACGCGGCCGCAAUGCUACUAAGGAAUCGAACCUCAUCCCUGAUAUUAAUCGGAGGGCUGUGAUCCGAUGGGAAAACGGAGUGCCUGUUGGGGCCUUUGCCAAUGCUUUCAACAAUUUCCUUGCCGCUUUAGCCAGGAGACACGAUUUCUUCAACAUAUUUUUGACGUGGAAAUCGCAGCGGAUUGAUGCGCUGGUGGCUUGUUGGAGAUAUAUAUGUCGAUUUUUCUUUCUUGACGAUAAUAUUUGUG